GUGCUUGCUUCGGCAGCACAUAGACUAAAAUUGGAAUGAUACAGAGAAUGAUACAUGGCCCCUGUGCAAGGAUGACAUGCAAAUUCGUGAAACAUUCCAUAUUUUU
ensembl:snRNA LOC120097655 U6 spliceosomal RNA